AUACGGAGGGUCCAAGCGUUAUCCGGAUUCAUUGGGUUUAAAGGGUCCGCAGGCGGGAAAAUAAGUCAGUGGUGAAAGCCUACAGCUCAACUGUAGAACUGCCGUUGAUACUGUUUUUCUUGAGUAUAGAUGAAGUGGGCGGAAUAUAUCAUGUAGCGGUGAAAUGCAUAGAUAUGAUAUAGAACACCGAUUGCGAAGGCAGCUCACUAAACUAUUACUGACGCUCAGGGACGAAAGCGUGGGGAGCGAACAGGAUUAGAAACCCUAGUAGUCC
rnacentral:rRNA from 1 species